rnacentral:rRNA from 1 species
AUUGAACGCUGGCGGCAUGCGUAACACAUGCAAGUCGAACGAGGUAGUGUGCUUGCACACUGCCUAGUGGCGGACGGGUGAGUAAUACGUAGGAAUCUGUCUUAGAGAGGGGGAUAACCCGAGGAAACUUGGGCUAAAACCGCAUAAUCUCGUGAGAGGAAAGCAGGGGACCGAAAGGCCUUGUGCUCUAAGGUGAGCCUACGUCGGAUUAGCUAGUUGGUAGGGUAAAGGCCUACCAAGGCGAUGAUCUGUAGCUGGUCUGAGAGGACGGACAGCCACACUGGGACUGAGACACGGCCCAGACUCCUACGGGAGGCAGCAGUGGGGAAUAUUGGACAAUGGGGGCAACCCUGAUCCAGCGAUGCCGCGUGUGUGAAGAAGGCCUGCGGGUUGUAAAGCACUUUCAGUGGGGAAGAGAAGCGCGGUUUGAAUAAAGCCGCGUGGAGACGUUACUCACAGAAGAAGCACCGGCUAACUCUGUGCCAGCAGCCGCCGUAAGAC